GCGAACAGUUCGUGAAACCUGUCGACAUUUCUCGACAUAUCCUGUCAACUUCACUUGACGGACGGACGUUACUCAUCCAGGUCCAGCAAGGCGGUGUCGUUAUCUCAACAAGGGAUUUAUAGUUUUGCACACAUUUAAGAAAGCUGUCCUUUUUACUAUACAACAGAAUUCCGUGCAGGAUGGAUCUAGUCACUCCUGGUGACAGAGAGCCUGUUCAACCACCGUCAAUUGACAACGUCUUUAUAAAAACGGCAAAGACAACCCACCUCGGACUGAUCGUCAAUGAUAGAUCGGGAAACAGAUUCAUUUCAUUUAAGGAAAAAGACGUAAAAUUUACAGCCAAAUUACCCCAACGAUGAAGGGUAUCUUGAACAGCUUCGAAAUUGAGUGAAAGAUUCAAAGCGAUAGCGCUCAACUGAUGACUAAUAGCCAGGAUGAAGAACGGAUGACAAACUAUGAAAUCAAACAAAUGAAUAACGUUACGGGAUGACGUGUUUCUUACCUGAUGUGGACGCAAAAUAGACUCGCAAAAAUUGGGACAAAUCACCUAGAUAAACGCCCCACCCCUACGGCAGCGAAUGUUGGCCAAACAAGGAGAAAUGGCUUAUUCCGUUCUGUGUCGCAAUCUACGAUUUAGACGAGUAACGUUAAAUUUAUUAAAAUAAAGAACACGCAAUCUUUCAGAGGACGUUUAAUAGCAUUUACAGCAAUUUUCCUGUUUACAGAAACCUAACCUAAGAGUACACUUUUUAUUGGAUGCCUACACACCACACUCGAAAUGCCAGUCUCUUACACAUUAUAUACUAGUUACUGGAUAUUUCAUUCACAGAACGUCGUGUUCCCCACACAAUAUGAAUAACUGCAAUAUAAUUAUCUAAUUAUUUUCAGAUGGAAACUGAUAAUUUCUUAGUCAUCUUCUUCAAUCUGACACUGCAAAGGCCCAUCAACACUAGAACGCCAACUGGAUUGAGGACAAUUUACUUUUGAACUUAAACAAUUGACAACUAGCUUUACCUGUGAUGUGUCUGACAGUGGGGACGAGAACAAUACGCCAUUACAACGAGCGAUUGCAAACUGGGAAGUCGACUAGGAUAAUAGACACACCACCCAUCCUAACAGUCGGAGCUAGGACAACUAAAUCGAAAGAACAGCUGAUGUCAAAUUUCUGUUCCAUAUUGCUUUGUCUGUUUUUUUGUCUCCCUUCCUCUGGAAAGCGAUGGGAUAGGUCACUUAAAUCAAUUCUUCGAAGAAGCGAAAGGAUUCGUCACUGAAAGAGAACGGGUUCGCAAUUUCGUUGCUGUGUACAAAUGAGUUAAAUAACGUUCAUGACGUUAUCUAAUCUUGUAGCAAUGAUGAAAGUUUUUCUACUAUAAUAUCAUGCCAUAAAUUAUUUCCAUCUUUUUGCAUGCUAAAUAAAGUCAUUGAUUGUGUCGCCACUUCA
rnacentral:lncRNA from 1 species